rnacentral:rRNA from 1 species
AUACGUAGGGUGCGAGCGUUCUCCGGAAUUACUGGGCGUAAAGAGCUCGUAGGUGGUUUGUCGCGUCGUCUGUGAAAUUCCGGGGCUUAACUCCGGGCGUGCAGGCGAUACGUGCAUAACUUGAGUACUGUAGGGGAGACUGGAAUUCCUGGUGUAGCGGUGAAAUGCGCAGAUAUCAGGAGGAACUCCGGUGGGGAAGGCGGGUCUCUGGGCAGUAACUGACGCUGAGGAGCGAAAGCAUGGGUAGCGAACAGGAUUAGAUUCCCUGGUAGUCCAUGCCGGAAACGGUGGGCGCUAGGUGUAGGGGUCUUCCACGACUUCUGUGCCGUAGCUAACGCAUUAAGCGCCCCGCCUGGGGAGUACGGCCGCAAGGCUAAAACUCAAAUGAAUUGACGGGG